CCAGCAGUUCGGCUGGGCGACUCUAAGGGAACGUGCGGUGUUAACGGAGGAAGGUGGGAUGACGUCAAGUCCUCAUGGCCUUUAUGACCAGGGCUACACACGUACUACAAUGGCCGAUACAAAGGGCAGCGACAUUGCGAAAUGAAGCCAAUCCCAUAAAUUCGGUCUCAGUCCGGAUUGGAGUCUGCAACUCGACUCCAUGAAGUUGGAAUCGCUAGUAAUCGUGGAUCAGCAUGCCACGGUGAAUACGUUCCCAGGCCUU
rnacentral:rRNA from 1 species